GACGAACGCUGGCGGCGUGCUUAACACAUGCAAGUCGAACGCUGAAGCUUGGCGCUUGUACUGGGCGCGUGAGUGGCGCACGGGUGUGUCAUAAGUGAGUCACCUGCUCUACACUCUGGUAUAAGCCUGGGACACUGGCUCUAACACUGUAUACGACACUUCUCCGCAUUGGGGUGUGUGGAAAGGGUUUUACUGGUUUUGGAUGGGCUCGCGGCCUAUCAGCUUGUUGGUGGGGUAAUUGCCAACCAAGGCAACGACGGGUAGCCGGCCUGAGAGGGUGACCGGCCACACUGGGACUGAGACACGGCCCAGACUCCUACGGGAGGCAGCAGUGGGGAAUAUUGCACAAUGGGCGGAAGCCUGAUGCAGCGACGCCGCGUGAGGGAUGACGGCCUUCGGGUUGUAAACCUCUUUCGGCACGGAAGAAGCGAAAGUGACGGUACGUGGAGAAGAAGCGCCGGCUAACUACGUG
rnacentral:rRNA from 1 species